rnacentral:rRNA from 1 species
GAUGAACGCUGGCGGCGUGCCUAAUACAUGCAAGUCGAGCGAACAGACGAGGAGCUUGCUCCUCUGACGUUAGCGGCGGACGGGUGAGUAACACGUGGAUAACCUACCUAUAAGACUGGGAUCACUUCGGGAAACCGGAGCUAAUACCGGAUAAUAUAUUGAACCGCAUGGUUCAAUAGUGAAAGACGGUUUUGCUGUCACUUAUAGAUGGAUCCGCGCCGCAUUAGCUAGUAGGUAAGGUAACGGCUUACCAAGGCAACGAUGCGUAGCCGACCUGAGAGGCGGGUCGGCCACACUGGAACUGAGACGCGGUCCAGACUCCUACGGGACGCAGCAGUAGGGAAUCUUCCGCAACGGGCGAAAGCCUGACGGAGCAACGCCGCGUGAGUGAUGAAGGUCUUCGGAUCGUAAAACUCUGUUAUUAGGGAAGAACAAAUGUGUAAGGAACUAUGCACGGCUUGACGGUACCUAAUCAGAAAGCCACGGCUAACUACGUG